ACUCAAAUGAAUUGACGGGAGCCCGCACAAGCGGUGGAUUAUGUGGUUUAAUUCGAAGCAACGCGCAGAACCUUACCUAGGUUUGACAUCCUUUGACAACUGCAGAGAUGCAGCUUUCGUAGCAAUACGACAAAGAGACAGGUGCUGCAUGGCUGUCGUCAGCUCGUGUGGUGGCAUGUCGGGUUAAGUCCCUCAACGAGCGCAACCCCUAUGUUUAGUUGCCAGCAUUAAGUUGGGCACUCUAGACAGACUGCCGUGGUUAACACGGAGGAAGGCGGGGAUGACGUCAAGUCCUCAUGGCCCUUACAUCUAGGGCGACACACGUAAUACAAUGGUCGAUACAGAGGGACGCGAAAUGGUGACAUGGAGCAAAUCUCAAAAAGUCGAUCUCAGUUCGGAUUGAAGUCUGCAACUCGACUUCAUGAAGGCGGAAUCGCUAGUAAUCGCGGAUCAGCACGCCGCGGUGAAUACGUUCCCGGGCUUUGUACACACCGCCCGU
rnacentral:rRNA from 1 species